AAUGAUCUGGAGGAAAAAUGUUCUUUGAAAGAUAAUCAGAUAAAGGCAUUGGAAGAGCAACUAGCAACUGCAGAGAAGAAACUGCAGGUGUCUAAUAUAUCUGCAUACGAGACAAGGACAGAGUACAAAGGACAACAAAAAUUUGUGAAUGAGUAGCAAAGACGCUUAGCAGAUGCAGAAUAUAAACUUAUAGAAGAGGAGAGGCUGAGGAAAAAAUUACAUAAUACCAUUUUGGAGUUAAAAGGGAACAUUCGUGUAUUCUGUCGAGUGAGGCCUUUAUUAGCUGAUGAAAGUUGUAGCACA